rnacentral:rRNA from 1 species
UACGUAGGGUGCAAGCGUUGUCCGGAAUUAUUGGGCGUAAAGAGCGUGUAGGCGGCUUGGUUAGUCGGCUGUGAAAGUUCAGGGCUCAACCCUGGAAUGCCGGUGGAUACUGUCGGGCUAGAGUCCGGAAGGGGCGAGUGGAAUUCCUGGUGUAGCGGUGAAAUGCGCAGAUAUCAGGAGGAACACCAAUGGCGAAGGCAGCUCGCUGGGACGUGACUGACGCUGAGACGCGAAAGCGUGGGGAGCAAACAGG